CAGCAGCCGCGGUAAUACGUAGGGCGCAAGCGUUAUCCGGAAUUAUUGGGCGUAAAGAGCUCGUAGGCGGUUUGUCGCGUCUGCCGUGAAAGUCCGGGGCUCAACCCCGGAUCUGCGGUGGGUACGGGCAGACUAGAGUGAUGUAGGGGAGACUGGAAUUCCUGGUGUAGCGGUGAAAUGCGCAGAUAUCAGGAGGAACACCGAUGGCGAAGGCAGGUCUCUGGGCAUUAACUGACGCUGAGGAGCGAAAGCAUGGGGAGCAAACAGGAUUAGAUACCCCAGUAGUCCCUGUCUCUUAUAC
rnacentral:rRNA from 1 species